CUGAGCACAAUUGUGUGUGGGUCAAAGAUUAUAGACACCUGAGGUUUUCCAGAACCCUUCCUGGUUUGUUCUGGUGUCGGAUCAACAUGCCCUCUUGGCAGGGAUUGUUAUUCUAGGAACAUUUAAGAUGCCGUCACGGAGAAGACCACCACCAGGAGCAGGCUGAGAUCUCCUGACACCAGCUUCGCUGACUAAGAUUCCCUGAAAGAAAGAAGAAUGUGUGUUUGCCCCAACCCUGACCCUUAUCUGAGAUGCUGUUUUUUCUCCUUUUAGGCUCUGAAACUCCCCUCGGUUCUUCCCCAAAGGAGGGCACAGUCUUGAAGGCAUUAGCCUGCUGUGGCUGCCUUGUCUGGCGAAGCAGUAAAGCUGUUUUUUUCUCCUUCACCCCAAUCUUUGUCUCUGAGUUUCUAUUUGGCACCGAGUUUUAGCAACAAAUUUAGGGGGCUUAUCCGGGAUCGACUUGUGGGCAGCUGGCCCUGUGGGGCCCGUAGGCUUGAUAGGACAUUUUGGGUUUCUCUCCAUGCCAGUCUCCUUUGGGAGAAUGGAGGGUUGGAAGAUGCCUCCAGAGGGAUCCCUGCCAUAGGACCGUGCCCUAGUCAUACCCGGCCUGCCAUCUCCGUGGUGGGAGCUCCAGGAUAGGAGCAGAAGACAGGAGACAGACCAUCCUAGCAGCUGCCGAGGCCAUAUUCGUCUUAAGUUGCUCUCUCCUUUCUGCCCACAUUGCCCCGAACCUCCUACUCGGAGAUAUUAUUUUGGGGAAGGAAAAAAGUAACAUCUGGGACAUCGAGCCACCUCUGCCAGUGUCUAGGGCCCCUGCACUGGACUGGUCCAUAGAGAGGACUGCUGACCUCAAAACCAUCUUAAAACAGUGCUCACGUGGAGGAGAAACUACACCAGGAUGAGAGAUGACGACAUCAGGAGUAGACAGUAGAUGCUGGACCUGAGUAGUAACAGCACUUCUGGUCUUCAGAAUAACAUCUUCAGGGAAAGCAUAUGGAAUUCAAUCUGUUGUGUGAAUAUUUUCAGUUAGAGAAGAGUGCUGAUAAGAAUCCUAAAUGCCUUGCGGUGGAACAGAGGCCCUGCAUGAUCUGGCUUCUUUCAACCGCUCCAACCCACGCUGCUGUCCUCUCCAGCCCCUCCAGCCUCCUGCAUGUUCCUCAAGCACUACCCCAAGCUGCCUCCCCUGAGGACCUUCGCACCUGCUGAUGUGUCUACCUGAAAGCCUCUUCCUGUGGCUGAAGUCUUCUCAUCUUUGGGGCUGUAGCUCAAAUAUUCCACCUCUAAGCAUCCUUCACCCCAGCUGGGGAGUCACUGAGAAUGUGAGACUCUGAUGAGGAUCCAAAGUGAUGGAAGCAUGAAACACUGGAAGAAGCCUCAUUCUUCUGGCUCCUCGUGCACCACUUCUGCCGUAACUGAUGCCAAUCUAAUUUCAGCCUGGUGGACGUACCCUCUCUACGAAGCCUGCCCUGAUCUGAGACUUAGUCAUGCUUCCUGGUGUAUGACCACAGCAGGGACUGGAAACUCUCGUGGACCUGAGUGUUACUGGAGCUUUUGUGCAUCUGAAGAUAGUCAUCACUGCUGAGCAGACUGCCUGGGCUGGGUCAGGCAAAGAAGUGAGAAUUAAUAUCAGGUCCUUGACACUGAAGAUACUCCAGCUCUGUGAUCAUGGAACCCCACAAGGGCUGAGACAAACGCACCAUCAAAGUACAAGUGUCUCCAGCUGUGGUACCCUGCUUUGCCAUGUUGCAAAAUCAUUUUGUAUUAAUAGCAUUUUAUGCUUCUUGGUCCAUUUACAAAUUAUUUUGCAUGGCACAAAUAAAUACAUAAAUGAAGCAUUUAUGUUUCAUUUUCCAAAUGUUUUCUUUUAAUGCCGUCUUCUAUUUUUCUCUAAAUCCCAUCCACUUAGAAAAUAUAUGGUCAAAGUAAAUUUAUUCUGCUUUUAUUCUAAUAAUCUGGUGGGCGGCACAGAAGUUAUUGUUAAGCAUUAAGUCAAACAACUAAUAAUGCUUGAGAAUAGCUCAAAUUCCAGCAUUCCAUGCUUAACUGGUGAACAGAAGCCUUGAUAUUCUGGAGCCUUAUCUGUCUUUUUGGUUAAAAAUAAAGAUAGUUGUGAGACUUACAGUGAUGGAAACAAUGAGAAUGAUACUUCUGAAAGAAUUUUAAAGCAGGAAGUGACUUUCCAAGACCUUGCAGUCUGGGGGUACAUUUUCGAGUGUGUGCAUGUGGCCAUGAAGGAGGUGGUUGGUGAGCUACUAUUAUUCUGCUUGUUGUGAAGUCAGUUUAUUCACCUGAGAGGCAUGGAGAAGAUGGAUGUUGCCAUGUAUUUCACAACUAGGACACCCGGGGCUGGAACAUCUGUUUCCUUCUCAGCUCCCGGGAGCAGCAGCCACAGGGAUGGCAGAGCUGGGCCACAGGACAUGCCCGUGAGAAGCUAGCUCUGCCCUGGCUGACUCACUGUGCGGCAGCAGAACAGGGCCUGGACCCCAGAUCUCCUGGUUCCUGACCAGCGUUCUCUAAAUCACAACCUUUGACCGAGGUUUUCUUUUGCUCUGAGGCAUGGACAAAAUCCUUGGAAAUAUAUAUAUAUAUACACCUUUUUUUUUUUUUUUGCUUUUUUUUUUU